CAGUCCAUUGGAGCAGUAAGAACAAGUAAGAUAUUUUUUGCUGUUACCAUAAGGUUCCCUGUGGUAUCCCAUGCUGUGAUUCAUAAAGGGAAAAGGUGGGGAAGAAGAAAUAAGAAAAGAGCACUUUUAUUCUUAUUUAUCACUUAUUCAGGGACACUGAUCCCUACAACAAGACAAAGAUCCCACACAUCUUGAAACAGGCAAGAAGCAUGAAAGGGAGUUUGCGGCAGUAUUUGCAUCUUGUUCCUUUUCUUCACUGGAGAUAUUUGUGUGUGUUGAGCCAGUUCUAGAAAUUUCUGCUACUUCUUGAAGAUCCUAAAUCACAGGUGCAAGAGGGAUCUCUGUGGCACUGGGUAUUUCCACACACUGAGGCUGGCUCGGUUUUUUGAAGAUGCUUACUCCUCUGGGACAUUUCUUUUGAUGUACACUCUAUGAUGCUUUAUCCCAUUUUGCCUGAAUAGGUGCUUUUACAAUAGUCUCUGCGACACCAGGAGAAAUUGUAAAUUGUAUGAGACAAGUUGCAAAGGCUCUGGAUGAACACCCACAAGCAUGCAGGCAGUUAAUUUCCUACUUACCUCAAAUACAGGUUUAAAGAGUGAGAAUAACAAAGCAGAAUAGGUGAAAGCUCACCAAAUAAAAGAAAAGCAAACAAAUCUGUAAGUAGAGCUUCCUGGCAACUUAGGAACACAGCUUUUAAGGUGGUACAAUAACUAAAGCAUAUUUUCUCUUUGACUGUAUUUCUGUUAUUUUUGUGCCAAAAUCUGAA